GGCCAGGUAGCUCAGUUGGUAUAGCAGCGGACUGAAAAUCCGCGUGUCGGCAGUUCGAUUCUGCCCCUGGCCACCA
rnacentral:tRNA from 1 species